UACAGAGGGUGCGAGCGUUAAUCGGAAUUACUGGGCGUAAAGCGCGCGUAGGCGGCUUUGCAAGUCGGGUGUGAAAUCCCCAGGCUUCAACCUGGGAACUGCAUUCGAGACUGCAUUGCUAGAGUAUGGGAGAGGGAAGUGGAAUUUCCGGUGUAGCGGUGAAAUGCGUAGAUAUCGGAAGGAACAUCAGUGGCGAAAGCGACUUCCUGGACCAAUACUGACGCUCAUGUGCGAAAGCGUGGGGAGCGAAACAGG
rnacentral:rRNA from 1 species